rnacentral:rRNA from 1 species
GACGUAGGGGGCCAGCGUUGUUCGGAAUUACUGGGUGUAAAGGGUUCGUAGGCGGUGUGGCAAGUCGGGAGUGAAAUCUCUAGGCUCAACCUAGAGUCUGCUUCCGAAACUGCUGUGCUUGAGUGUGGGAGAGGCGCGUGGAAUUGCAGGUGUAGCGGUGAAAUGCGUAGAUAUCUGGAGGAACACCGAUGGCGAAGGCGGCAUCCUGGACCAAAUCUGACGCUGAGGAGCGAAAGCCAGGGGAGCAAACGGG